GGAUACAAGAAGCAGAGGAGAUCAUUAGAAAUUUGAAGUUAGAAGCUGAAAGAUUAGAUGUGGAGAGAGAGAAAUUUUCGAUUGAGAAUACAGAACUCAAGCAAGACCUAGAUGCUUAUGGCAAUAAAGAAAAAGAAUUGAAUCAGAGAUUGGAGGAGAUUAGCAAAGAGAAGGACAACUUGAAUCUAGAAGUUGCAGACCUGAAGAGUAAGUUGACAGCUAUGACUGAAGAGAAGGAAGCUUUCAAUUUGGAACAUCAGACUGCUUUAAGCAGGAUACAAGAAGCAGAGGAGAUAAUUAGAAAUUUGAAGUUAGAAGCUGAAAGAUUAGAUGCGGAGAAAGAGAAACUUUCAGUCGAGAAUGGAGAGCUCAAGCAAGACCUAGAUGCUUAUGGGAAUACAGAAGCAGAACUGAAUCAGAGAUUGGAGGAGAUGAGCAAAGCGAAGGACAACUUGACUCUGGAAGUCACAGACCUAAAGAGUAAGUUGACAGCUAUCGCUGAAGAAAAGGAAGCUUUCAAUUCGGAACAUCAGACAACUUUAAGCAGGAUACAAGAAGCAGAGGAGAUCAUUAGAAAUUUGAAGUUAGAAGCUGAAAGAUUAGAUGUGGAGAGAGAGAAAUUCUCGAUUGAGAAUAGAGAACUCAAGCAAGACCUAGAUGCUUAUGGCAAUAAAGAAAAAGAAUUGAAUCAGAGAUUGGAGGAGAUUAGCAAAGAGAAGGACAACUUGAAUCUAGAAGUUGCAGACCUGAAGAUUAAGUUGACAGCUACGACUGAAGAAAAGGAAGCUUUCAAUUUGGAACAUCAGACCGCUUUAAGCAGGAUACAAGAAGCAGAGGAGAUAAUUAGAAAUUUGAAGUUAGAAGCUGAAAGAUUAGAUGCGGAGAAAGAGAAACUUUCAGUCGAGAAUGGAGAGCUCAAGCAAGACCUAGAUGCUUAUGGGAAUACAGAAGCAGAAUUGAAUCAGAAAUUAGAGGAGAUGAUCAAAGCGAAGGACAACUUGACUCUAGAAGUCACAGACCUAAAGAGUAAGUUGACAGCUACCACUGAAGAAAAGGAAGCUUUCAAUUCGGAACAUCAGACAGCUUUAAGCAGGAUACAAGAAGGAGAGGAGAUCAUUAGAAAUUUGAAGUUAGAAGCUGAAAGAUUAGAUGUGGAGAGAGAGAAAUUCUCGAUUGAGAAUAGAGAACUCAAGCAAGACCUAGAUGCUUCUGGGAACAAAGAAGAAGAAUUGAAUCAGAGAUUGGAGGAAAUGAGCAAAGAGAAGGACGACUUGAAUGUAGAAGUUGCAGACCUGAAGAGUAAGUUGACAGUUACCACGGAAGAAAAGGAAGCUUUAAAUUUGGAACAUCAGACAGCUUUAAGGAGGAUACAAGAAGCAGAGGAGGUCCUU
rnacentral:lncRNA from 1 species